rnacentral:lncRNA from 1 species
ACUCCAUUAAUGUUACAGUGUAACUGUUCCAUUAAUUUGUUUACUUAAAGUAAACUUGAGAUUUACAAAUUUGUCAAACGCCGAUUCCUAAGUUCAACGCUAACGGAAAUGCGAUGUUCAACUUAAUAAAUCUGUAAAAAUGAAAGUUGCACAACCUCCAGGAACAGUUGAAUAUAUUGUAAAAACCACUGAUACCCUAGCAAGUAUUUCUUUACGAUAUAACACUACUCCAUCAGAGCUCUCCAGGUUGAAUCAUCUCAAUUCAUAUCUUUUGUGGCCU